ACCACUGAGCCAUCUCUCCAGCCCAAAUUAGUUGUUUAUUAAUUAAAAAUAUUUUUCCAGGGCUGGAGAGUUGGCUCAGUGGU
rfam:Rattus norvegicus chromosome 10, whole genome shotgun sequence.